rnacentral:tRNA from 1 species
GCCGGAGUGGUGAAAUUGGUAGACGCAGUGGACUCAAAAUCCACCGGGGGCGACUCCGUCCCGGUUCGAUUCCGGGCUCCGGCACCA